AACGAACGCUGGCGGCGUGCCUGACACAUGCAAGUCGAACGAGAAAGGGGCUUCGGCUCCGAGUAAAGUGGCGCACGGGUGAGUAACACGUGGGUAACCUGCCUCUAAGAUUGGGAUAACUCGUCGAAAGAUGAGCUAAUACCGAAUAAGACCACAGUUCCUGCGGGAACAGGGGUCAAAGGUAGCCUCUGCUUGCAAGCUAUCACUUAGAGAUGGGCCUGCGCACCAUUAGCUAGUUGGUAGGGUAACGGCCUACCAAGGCAAAGAUGGUUAGCUGGGCUGAGAGGAUGAUCAGCCACCAUGGAACUGAGACACGGUCCAGACUCCUACGGGAGGCAGCAGUGGGGAAUAUUGCGCAAUGGGCGAAAGCUUGACGCAGCAACGCCGCGUGAGUGAUGAAGGCCUUCGGGUCGUAAAGCUCUGUCGGGAGGAACGAAUGCUCCCGAGGUUAACAGCCUCGGGAAGUGACGGUACCUUCAAAGGAAGCACCGGCUAACUCUGUGCCAGCCGCCGCAGUAAAAC
rnacentral:rRNA from 1 species